CCUAUGGUUGAAACCAUAGGCUGUAUUACUCAACGCCUUCAGCGUU
rnacentral:sRNA from 1 species